rnacentral:lncRNA from 1 species
UCAAUUAGCCUGUAUUUUUCUUAAAUAUACUUCCUGAAUAGUUUUGACCAAGUUGUGUGUGUUGCUCCUUACCCUUAGAGACACCUUAAUUAUUUAACAGUUUUAUUGAACAGCAUGUUAAUAUUUUGUAGUCUGAGAUGCAUUUACAUGAUUAAGAAGAGUUAAAUUAAGAUGCUUAUUGGGAUAUUAACAUGGAUAAACAGCAUUUAUUCCAUUCUCUUCCAUGCAUCUUUUUCAUAAUGGUGAAGGGAACUGGGUCCUUCGUCAAGAUUUAAUAGGAUGUCAACCAUAAGAUGCUGUUUCACUAAUUACAUAAUUGCAUUUUUAAUGCAGUUUUUAGUUACAGGAGGUAGAACUAAUGGUGUGUUUCUACCAUUUGGGUUUCUCCUGCCCGUAAUGCAAAAUCAAGAGGUGUC